CCCGCACAAGCGGAGGAACAUGUGGUUUAAUUCGAUGAUACGCGAGGAACCUUACCUGGGCUAGAACGCUUCUGGAGUGUACGGGAAACUGUACAGCCCUUCGGGGCCGGGAGGCGAGGUGCUGCAUGGUUGUCGUCAGCUCGUGCCGUGAGGUGUCGGGUUAAGUCCCAUAACGAGCGCAACCCCUACUGCUAGUUGCCAGCGCGUAAAGGCGGGAACUCUAGCGGGACUGCCGGCGUAAGCCGAGAGGAGGGUGGGGGAUGACGUCAAAUCAGCACGGCCCUUACGUCCAGGGCUACACACGUGUUACAAUGGCCGGUACAGAGGGCAGCUACCUGGCAACAGGAUGCGAAUCUCGAAAGCCGGUCCCAGUUCGGAUUGGGGUCUGCAACCCGACCCCAUGAAGUUGGAUUCGCUAGUAAUCGCGCAUCAGCCACGGCGCGGUGAAUACGUUCCCGGGCCUU
rnacentral:rRNA from 1 species